CAGGAGAGAGGUUGGACCUGCACAUGGGACACUCGUCUGUGACGCUGUAGCAGUACCUGGCUGCCAUGAUGGAUGAGCAGCAGGCCCUGGACUCCAUCAUGCAGGAUCUGGUCGUCCUCCACAAGGCCAGCAGACCAUCGGGGCAUGAAUCUAGUGGGACCAAGACCACCUCUCCUAAGAAGCAGAAUGAUGUCCGUGUGAAGUUUGAACAUCGUGGAGAGAAGAGGUGAGAGAACAAUGUUGUUUAUAGUUAUUGUCUUUAGGAAGUUAAUUUUGAGGGCAUUUAUUUUUGCUUGCG